GUGUUGGAGGAAAGGCUAGAUGGGAUAUUGAAUAAGGAUUGAAAAUCCUUGGAGAAAUGGGUGUGUGUAGCCAUUAGGGGUUGUUUGGCUGACACAGCCCUAUAUUGGGUAUUGGAGGAGAAAAUCCCAAAGGGACUAUGGUCAAAAUUGCACAUCCUUUACAUGAAAAAAAAUAUGUGCAAUAAACUGAUGUUAAAGAAGCAGCUCUAUAGUCUUCGAAUGCAGAAAGGUGGGGAUAUAGUCGUUCACAUU
rnacentral:lncRNA from 1 species